rnacentral:tRNA from 1 species
GCGGGUAUGGCGGAAUUGGCAGACGCGCCAGACUUAGGAUCUGGUAUCUUUGAUAUGCAGGUUCAACUCCUGUUACCCGCACCA